AUUGAACGCUGGCGGCAGGCCUAACACAUGCAAGUCGAGCGCGCCGCGGACGGGUGAGAAAUGUAUGGGGAUAUGCCCGAUAGAGGGGGAUCAAUACUGGACACGGUGGCUAAUACCGUAUACAACCGGAUGAACCCAUAUGGGAUGAGCUAGUAGGAGGGGUAAAGUCUCACCUAGGCGACGAUCUCUAGCUGGUCUGAGAGGAUGAGAAGCCACACUGGGACUGAGACACGGCCCAGACUCCUGCGGGAGGCAGCAGUGGGGAAUAUUGCACAAGGGGCGAAAGCCUGAUGCAGCCAUGCCGCGUGUAUGAAGAAGGCCGUAGGGUUGUAAAGUACUUUUGGCGGGGAGGCGUUACCUGCAGAAGAAGCACCGGCUAACUCCGUGCCAGCAGCCGCGGUAAUAC
rnacentral:rRNA from 1 species